rnacentral:rRNA from 1 species
AUUGAACGCUAGCGGGAUGCCUUACACAUGCAAGUCGAACGAGUGGCGGACGGGUGAGUAAUGUCUGGGAAACUGCCUGAUGGAGGGGGAUAACUACUGGAAACGGUAGCUAAUACCGCAUACCAUCAGAUGUGCCCAGAUGGGAGUAGCUAGUAGGUGGGGUAAUGGCUCACCUAGGCGACGAUCCCUAGCUGGUCUGAGAGGAUGACCAGCCACACUGGAACUGAGACACGGUCAAGACUCUGACGGGAGGCAGCAGUGGGGAAUAUUGCACAAUGGGGGCAAGCCUGAUGCAGCCAUGCCGCGUGUGUGAAGAAGGCCUUCGGGUUGUAAAGCACUUUCAGCGAGGAGGCGUUACUCGCAGAAGAAGCACCGGCUAACUCCGUGCCAGCCGCCGCGGUAAUAC